rnacentral:lncRNA from 1 species
UCUUUUUCAAAAGCAUAUAGUAGGUAGUUGUGAGUGGAUGAAAUAUACCAUACUCUAACAAUUAUUUGGUGUCCCACAAGUACACCAAUAUUUAGGACAUUAAAGGAUAAAUGGCUCUACCAAAACUCUUCAUCCCCUUUCUAUUUUAUCACACACUCAAUUCAAAUUAAAUAUAUUUAUACAAUUUUUAUUUAUUUUACUCACAAC